rnacentral:rRNA from 1 species
AACAAACGCUGGCGGCGUGCCUAACACAUGCAAGUCGUACGAGAAAGUCGGCUUCGGCCGAUGAGUACAGUGGCGCACGGGUGAGUAGCGCGUGGGUAAUCUGCCCCCCGGUCAGGAAUAACCCGCCGAAAGGCGGGCUAAUACCCGAUAACACUGACGCUCCGCGGAGCGUCUUUCAAAGAAGGCCUCUGUUUACAAGCUUUCGCCGGAGGAUGAGCCCGCGUACCAUUAGCUAGUUGGCAGGGUAAUGGCCUACCAAGGCUACGAUGGUUAGCUGGUCUGAGAGGAUGGCCAGCCACACUGGAACUGAGACACGGUCCAGACUCCUACGGGAGGCAGCAGUGAGGAAUCUUGCGCAAUGGGGGAAACCCUGACGCAGCAACGCCGCGUGAGUGAGGAAGGCCUUCGGGUCGUAAAGCUCUGUCAGAUGGGAAGAAAUGGAGUGGGGGCUAAUAUCGCCCAUCCUUGACGGUACCAUCAGAGGAAGCACCGGCUAACUCCG